GGUCGUCGGAUCGGAUUUGGGGAAAUAAACUCUUCUCUUCCUCUCUCGUUCGUUUUUCUGCCUUCACGCAUAGAGAAGCUACGCAAGCCGCCUUCUCCUAUACUUCCUCUCCUUCACCACCGGUCGACGGCACCUUUGCUCAUCAAUCGUCGUCAGCCGGAACUCCCCCUCACAUCCUCAUCCUCUCCAUCUCACCAUAUUCUUCAUCCACUCUGCCCUUCACGAUUUUCUGCCCCGACGCAACCGCAAGUAUCGCCGCCCACUUCACCGUAAUCCGACAGCCCCUUCCUCUUCGGGUUAGAGGAGGAAGCUAGGGCACGCAACUUCAAUUCUGACGCACAUCAACCCCGACGCCAUCCUGCUCGCCAUUACCGAAGCUACUGCCACUUCCUUCAUCUGGACCAGAUCUGAGCAGAACAAGUUCCGAUUUCACUUCAGACCCGGACACCAUCUACCAUCUUCGAGCAUCCUUCAUCCGGUUUAGAUCUGGACAGAACAAGCUCCAACUUCUGAUCAGAUAUGAUCUUCUACAAUGUCUUUUCAGAUAUUUUGAAUGGUGAAUGGAGGUAUUCAGAAAUUUCGGCUGAACAACUUGGAUAUGGAUGAUUAUAGGAGCAACAACUACAUGUUAUGUGGCACUGCAUCCAAACUUCAAGGGUGUGACUGGAAAGUACUUUGACGAAGAACUAUUAAGAAGACUUUGGGAUUUAAACGAGAAGAUGGUUAAAGGCAAUGAGUAAAGAACAUUCAAGUUAAGAGGAUAAGUAUCAUCUAUCAAAAUUCUUUAAGUUCAUGCAAUAAGAUGUAGUUGAUAAGAGUAGUUUUGAGUGUCUCCUAAUUAAAAUUUAUUUGUAUGCAAGUAAUUAUGUUUGUUAUAGAAGUGUAAGGAUGAUAAUUUCUAUAUUGAUCUUAGUUGUUUAUUUAAUGAUAUGUUGUUGAUUAAAA